rnacentral:RNase_P_RNA from 1 species
CGAGUCGGCCAGGCGAUCGCGGCAUCGGGUGACCGGUGUCGAGGAAAGUCCGGACUCCGAUGAGCAGGGUGGUGGGUAACACCCACCCGGGGUGACCCGCGGGACAGUGCCACAGAAAGCAAACCGCCCGAUGAUCAUCGGUCAUCGGGUAAGGGUGAAACGGUGGUGUAAGAGACCACCAGCGGUCCAGGUGACUGGGCCGGCUCGGUAAACCCCACCCGGAGCAAGAUCAAGAAGGGGGCGCUUCGGCGCCUCCGCGGAAGCCGCUCGAGGGCUGCUCGCCCGAGGUUUCCGGGUAGAUCGCACCAGGCCGUCGGCAACGACGGUCGCAGAUGGAUGAUCGCCACCGCCUCCGGGCGGUACAGAAUCCGGCUUACCGGCCGGCUCGCCCC